CAAUGGGGGUUAUUGCCGUUAGUUACGGCGAGUGAAGCGGCAAAAGCUCAAAUUUUGAAAUCUGGCACCUUCGGUGUCCGAGUUGUAAUUUGAAGAAGGUAACUUUGGAGUUGGCUCUUGUCUAUGUUCCUUGGAACAGGACGUCACAGAGGGUGAGAAUCCCGUGCGAUGAGAUGCCCAAUUCUAUGUAAAGUGCUUUCGAAGAGUCGAGUUGUUUGGGAAUGCAGCUCUAAGUGGGUGGUAAAUUCCAUCUAAAGCUAAAUAUUGGCGAGAGACCGAUAGCGAACAAGUACAGUGAUGGAAAGAUGAAAAGAACUUUGAAAAGAGAGUGAAAAAGUACGUGAAAUUGUUGAAAGGGAAGGGCUUGAGAUCAGACUUGGUAUUUUGCGAUCCUUUCCUUCUUGGUUGGGUUCCUCGCAGCUUACUGGGCCAGCAUCGGUUUGGAUGGUAGGAUAAUGACUAAGGAAUGUGGCUCUACUUCGGUGGAGUGUUAUAGCCUUGGUUGAUACUGCCUGUCUAGACCGAGGACUGCGUCUUUUGACUAGGAUGUUGGCAUAAUGAUCUUAAGCCACCCGUCUUAAAAGGGGGCCCAAAAAAAAAAAAGUUAAGGGAGGGAAAAAAAAAAAAAAAAAAAAAAAAACAAAAACCAAAAAACCAAACAAAAAACAAACCAACAA
rnacentral:rRNA from 1 species